rnacentral:rRNA from 1 species
UGGGGAAUAUUGCACAAUGGGCGAAAGCCUGAUGCAGCAACGCCGCGUGAGGGAUGACGGCCUUCGGGUUGUAAACCUCUUUUAGUAGGGAAGAAGCGAAAGUGACGGUACCUGCAGAAAAAGCACCGGCUAACUACGUGCCAGCAGCCGCGGUAAUACGUAGGGUGCGAGCGUUGUCCGGAAUUAUUGGGCGUAAAGAGCUCGUAGGCGGUCUGUCGCGUCUGCUGCGAAAACCCGAGGCUCAACCUCGGGCUUGCAGUGGGUACGGGCAGACUAGAGUGCGGUAGGGGAGAAUGGAAUUCCUGGUGUAGCGGUGGAAUGCGCAGAUAUCAGGAGGAACACCGAUGGCGAAGGCAGUUCUCUGGGCCGUAACUGACGCUGAGGAGCGAAAGCGUGGGGAGCGAACAGGAUUAGAUACCCUGGUAGUCCACGCCGUAAACGUUGGGCGCUAGAUGUGGGGACCAUUCCACGGUUUCCGUGUCGCAGCUAACGCAUUAAGCGCCCCGCCUGGGGAGUACGGCCGCAAGGCU